AUCGAUGAAGAACGCAGCGAAAUGCGAUAAGUAAUGUGAAUUGCAGAAUUCAGUGAAUCAUCGAAUCUUUGAACGCACCUUGCGCCCUUUGGCCAUUCCGAAGGGCAUGCCUGUUUGAGUAUCAUGAACACCUCAACUCUUCAUGGUUUUCCAUGAUGAGCUUGGACUUUGGGGGUUUUGCUGGCCCUAUGGUCAGCUCCCCUAAAAUGAAUCAGCUUGCCAGUGUUUGGUGGGCAUCACAGGUGUGAUAACUAUCUACGCUUGUGGUUUUCCACCAGGUAGCCUCCAGCAGUGGAGGUUCACUGGAGCUCACAGAUGUCUCUCCUCAGCGAGGACAGCCCUUUGAAUGUUUGAUCUCAAAUCAGGUAGGACUACCCGCUGAACUUAAGCAUAUCAAUAAGCGGAGGAAAAGAAACUAACAAGGAUUCCCCUAGUAACUGCGAGUGAAGCGGGAAGAGCUCAAAUUUAAAAUCUGGCGUGCCUCUGGUCGUCCGAGUUGUAGUCUGGAGAAGUGUUUUCCGUGUUGGACCGUGUACAAGUCUCUUGGAACAGGGCGUCAUAGAGGGUGAGAAUCCCGUCUUUGACACGGACUACCAAUGCUUUGUGAUGCACUCUCAAAGAGUCGAGUUGUUUGGGAAUGCAGCUCAAAAUGGGUGGUAAAUUCCAUCUAAAGCUAAAUAUAGGCGAGAGACCGAUAGCGAACAAGUACCGUGAGGGAAAGAUGAAAAGCACUUUGGAAAGAGAGUUAAACAGUACGUGAAAUUGCUGAAAGGGAAACGCUUGAAGUCAGUCACGUCUGCCAGGACUCAGCCUUGCUUCUGCUUGGUGCACUUUCUGGUUUGAUGGGCCAACAUCAAUUUUGACCGCUGGAGAAAGGCUUUGGGAAUGUGGCACCUUUGGGUGUGUUAUAGCCCUUUGUCGUAUGCAACGGUUGGGAUUGAAGACCGCAGCACGCCUUCAUGGCCGGGGGUAUUCCCACGUACGUGCUUAGGAUGUUGGCAUAAUGGCUUUAAGCGACCCGUCUUGAAACACGG
rnacentral:rRNA from 1 species